CCUUCACAAAUCCGGGUGAUAUUCAAUCAUUGUGUGAUCAAGAGGUCGAUAAAUUCUAUUUUAUUGGUUGCUUGAAAUAAGUUCAGCCAAACAUGCUCUUACAUGGAGGACAGCAAUAUCAACAAAAGGAGAAAUGAGAGUUUUAAUUCAUGUUUAUCAUAAUUAACUACUGGGAACUAUUUAUGUACUUUUGGAGUUGAAGAUGUUACCUGUGAGUCUUCCGGCAAGGUACAGAGCUUCUUCAGCAAUUGGUCUCCAAU
rnacentral:lncRNA from 1 species